rnacentral:rRNA from 1 species
CAUGCAAGUCGAACGAGAAUCACUGGAAGGAGUUUUCGGACAACGGAAGGUGAGGACAGUGGCGGACGGGUGAGUAACGCGUGAGGAACCUGCCUUUCAGAGGGGGACAACAGUUGGAAACGACUGCUAAUACCGCAUGACACAUAGAGAUCGCAUGGUUUUUAUGUCAAAGAUUUAUCGCUGAAAGAUGGCCUCGCGUCUGAUUAGCUAGUUGGUGAGGUAACGGCCCACCAAGGCGACGAUCAGUAGCCGGACUGAGAGGUUGACCGGCCACAUUGGGACUGAGAUACGGCCCAGACUCCUACGGGAGGCAGCAGUGGGGAAUAUUGGGCAAUGGGCGCAAGCCUGACCCAGCAACGCCGCGUGAAGGAAGAAGGCUUUCGGGUUGUAAACUUCUUUUAAGAGGGAAGAGCAGAAGACGGUACCUCUAGAAUAAGCCACGGCUAACUACGUGCCAGCAGCCGCGGUAAUACGUAGGUGGCAAGCGUUGUCCGGAUUUACUGGGUGUAAAGGGCGUGCAGCCGGGUCUGCAAGUCAGAUGUGAAAUCCAUGGGCUCAACCCAUGAACUGCAUUUGAAACUGUAGAUCUUGAGUGUCGGAGGGGCAAUCGGAAUUCCUAGUGUAGCGGUGAAAUGCGUAGAUAUUAGGAGGAACACCAGUGGCGAAGGCGGAUUGCUGGACGAUAACUGACGGUGAGGCGCGAAAGUGUGGGGAGCAAACAGGAUUAGAUACCCUGGUAGUCCACACUGUAAACGAUGAAUACUAGGUGUGCGGGGACUGACCCCCUGCGUGCCGCAGUAAACACAAUAAGUAUUCCACCUGGGGAGUACGAUCGCAAGGUUGAAACUCAAAGGAAUUGACGGGGGCCCGCACAAGCGGUGGAUUAUGUGGUUUAAUUCGAAGCAACGCGAAGAACCUUACCAGGGUUUGACAUCCUGCUAACGAAGUAGAGAUACAUUAGGUGCC